AGGAAAUCUGGAGAGAGAGCGAGCUUAGUUCAAGGAACGAAGGAAUAAGUAAGCAACCCCCACGCUCAGGGAGGCUAUCAAAGUUGUGACCAAAGAGGAUGAAGGCACCAGUGAGGCAAAAUGAAGAAGGGCUCAUCACUCAUGGACAACAGCUACAAGAAUUCGGCAUGGAGGAGGUUCCUAUGAGCUCUACAGUGUUCAUUUAGGUGCUAACUCCUUUCUUCUUCAGCCAUACCAAUAAUCAAAGACAGAAAGACUAAAAACCAUCACCAGAAGAGUGAAGUCUCUGUUGAACAAACAACCUCUUCUAACUGAAUCUUGGCCUGGUCUGAAAACACCAUGAAGCCCCUGAUACUGGGAGCAUUUGUUCACAACUGAACAAACAGGCCUAGUGUUUGCAGCAAGGCACUAGCAGAAGGCUGAAGCAAAACCCCAAGGUCCCUGACUUAAAGGAGUAGGGAAGUCAGAUAGUGCACGAGAAGACACAAAACACUGAACUGAACCUAAACCUGAGUGUUUCUGAACACCUCUUCUUCCCUGUCCUAUCCAAAAAGGUCACUUGUUAGAAAGAAAGUCCGGAGCUGAACUUCUCAGUGGCCUCCCUUGGUCAAGCACCACCCAUCAGUUCACAGGGAUCCCUCUCUGGACCUGUGGAUACUUAGAAAAGACUCAGAAGAUAUAAGCGGGUGGAGAAUCAAGCCUCUAGACAAGUGGCUUGUGAUAUCCACACUGGAGCUAAACAGCCUCAGAGGACGAUAUUGAAAAUCUUGUUUGAGAAGCAAGUGAUGGGAAAAGAUGAAGAAUAAAAAGCCAUCAGACAAGAGAAGAGUGUUCUUGUUCCAGGACAGAAUCAAAACUCUGCCCUGGGAGUUACAUAGGCAUUGUUUCAGAAGUUAACACAUCAGUGUUUAUGGAUGAAAACAACUGAGAUACAACGUGAGUCAAGCAUGCCUGAGCUUGCUAAUCAAAUAAGGACACUGCAAUUAUAUGACAUCAGUAAGAAAGUGGUGAACAUAUGCCAUAUCAAGUGUAUGGCAAGGUAGAAGGAAUGCUGCAAAGUGCAGAGCUGACAUGGAGGUUCCCAGAGUGCCGGAAAAUCUCAAUCUCCCUGCUGUCAAUGUGGUGGGACCUGAUGGGGAGAUGAAGAGCUAUCAAAAGUUGUUCCCACAGAGAAGUGACUCCAAAGCUGCCCAUAAACAGAAAUGCUGUCCUUGUGGGACGGCAGCAACACGUAUCUAUCAGAGACUACGUUUUUGCCUGUCCUCAUUAUUCUGAGGAUUACACAAGAAAUAUGCCCCACCAUUAUGUCCAAGCAGAAACGUUAUGCUCAGCAGGUAGCUCAUGUACUGUAAAGCCCUUUCCCCAGCUCCAUUAAGAGGUCUUGUUUAUGUCUGGCCUCGUGCAAGACAAAAGUAUUGCUGUGCUUUCUGGCCAUAUUUUUGCAGUGGAGGACUUGACAAGUGUCAAAUUGGAAAGAAAUUUCAUUGCUGUCAUUGCUACUUACCGAUGCCAUUGCAGUGGCUCUCAGUAGAGCAGCUGAGGCU
ensembl:lncRNA